rnacentral:rRNA from 1 species
GGGACACGUGGUAUCCUGUCUGAAUAUGGGGGGACCAUCCUCCAAGGCUAAAUACUCCUGACUGACCGAUAGUGAACCAGUACCGUGAGGGAAAGGCGAAAAGAACCCCGGCGAGGGGAGUGAAAAAGAACCUGAAACCGUGUACGUACAAGCAGUGGGAGCACAGGUUUACCUGUGUGACUGCGUACCUUUUGUAUAAUGGGUCAGCGACUUAUAUUCUGUAGCAAGGUUAACCGUAUAGGGGAGCCGGAGGGAAACCGAGUCUUAAUUGGGCGUUAAGUUGCAGGGUAUAGACCCGAAACCCGGUGAUCUAGCCAUGGGCAGGUUGAAGGUUGGGUAACACUAACUGGAGGACCGAACCGACUAAUGUUGAAAAAUUAGCGGAUGACCUGUGGCUGGGGGUGAAAGGCCAAUCAAACCGGGAGAUAGCUGGUUCUCCCCGAAAGCUAUUUAGGUAGCGCCUCGUGAAUUCAUCUCCGGGGGUAGAGCACUGUUUCGGCUAGGGGGCCAUCCCGGCUUACCAACCCGAUGCAAACUGCGAAUACCGGAGAAUGUUAUCACGGGAGACACACGGCGGGUGCUAACGUCCGUCGUGAAGAGGGAAACAACCCAGACCGCCAGCUAAGGUCCCAAAGUCAUGGUUAAGUGGGAAACGAUGUGGGAAGGCCCAGACAGCCAGGAUGUUGGCUUAGAAGCAGCCAUCAUUUAAAGAAAGCGUAAUAGCUCACUGGUCGAGUCGGCCUGCGCGGAAGAUGUAACGGGGCUAAACCAUGCACCGAAGCUGCGGCAGCGACACUGUGUGUUGUUGGGUAGGGGAGCGUUCUGUAAGCCUGUGAAGGUGUGUCGUGAGGCAUGCUGGAGGUAUCAGAAGUGCGAAUGCUGACAUAAGUAACGAUAAAGCGGGUGAAAAGCCCGCUCGCCGGAAGACCAAGGGUUCCUGUCCAACGUUAAUCGGGGCAGGGUGAGUCGACCCCUAAGGCGAGGCCGAAAGGCGUAGUCGAUGGGAAACGGGUUAAUAUUCCCGUACUUGGUGUUACUGCGAAGGGGGGACGGAGAAGGCUAUGUUGGCCGGGCGACGGUUGUCCCGGUUUAAGCGUGUAGGUGUGUGUUCCAGGUAAAUCCGGUUCACUUUAACACUGAGGCGUGACGACGAGGCACUACGGUGCUGAAGCAACAAAUGCCCUGCUUCCAGGAAAAGCCUCUAAGCAUCAGGUAACAUCAAAUCGUACCCCAAACCGACACAGGUGGUCAGGUAGAGAAUACCAAGGCGCUUGAGAGAACUCGGGUGAAGGAACUAGGCAAAAUGGUGCCGUAACUUCGGGAGAAGGCACGCUGACACGUAGGUGAAGUGAUUUACUCAUGGAGCUGAAGUCAGUCGAAGAUACCAGCUGGCUGCAACUGUUUAUUAAAAACACAGCACUGUGCAAACACGAAAGUGGACGUAUACGGUGUGACGCCUGCCCGGUGCCGGAAGGUUAAUUGAUGGGGUCAGCGCAAGCGAAGCUCCUGAUCGAAGCCCCGGUAAACGGCGGCCGUAACUAUAACGGUCCUAAGGUAGCGAAAUUCCUUGUCGGGUAAGUUCCGACCUGCACGAAUGGCGUAAUGAUGGCCAGGCUGUCUCCACCCGAGACUCAGUGAAAUUGAACUCGCUGUGAAGAUGCAGUGUACCCGCGGCAAGACGGAAAGACCCCGUGAACCUUUACUAUAGCUUGACACUGAACAUUGAGCCUUGAUGUGUAGGAUAGGUGGGAGGCUUUGAAGCGUGGACGCCAGUCUGCGUGGAGCCGACCUUGAAAUACCACCCUUUAAUGUUUGAUGUUCUAACGUGGACCCGUGAUCCGGGUUGCGGACAGUGUCUGGUGGGUAGUUUGACUGGGGCGGUCUCCUCCUAAAGAGUAACGGAGGAGCACGAAGGUUGGCUAAUCCUGGUCGGACAUCAGGAGGUUAGUGCAAUGGCAUAAGCCAGCUUGACUGCGAGCGUGACGGCGCGAGCAGGUGCGAAAGCAGGUCAUAGUGAUCCGGUGGUUCUGAAUGGAAGGGCCAUCGCUCAACGGAUAAAAGGUACUCCGGGGAUAACAGGCUGAUACCGCCCAAGAGUUCAUAUCGACGGCGGUGUUUGGCACCUCGAUGUCGGCUCAUCACAUCCUGGGGCUGAAGUAGGUCCCAAGGGUAUGGCUGUUCGCCAUUUAAAGUGGUACGCGAGCUGGGUUUAGAACGUCGUGAGACAGUUCGGUCCCUAUCUGCCGUGGGCGCUGGAGAACUGAGGGGGGCUGCUCCUAGUACGAGAGGACCGGAGUGGACGCAUCACUGGUGUUCGGGUUGUCAUGCC